UACGUAGGUGGCGAGCGUUGUCCGGAUUUACUGGGCGUAAAGGGCUUGUAGGCGGUCCGUUAAGUCCGAUGUGAAAUCUCCCGGCUCAACUGGGAGAGGUCAUUGGAUACUGGCGGACUAGAGGGGUGUAGAGGAAAGCAGAAUUCCUGGUGUAGCGGUGAAAUGCGUAGAUAUCAGGAGGAAUACCAGUGGCGAAGGCGGCUUUCUGGGCCUACCCUGACGCUGAGGAGCGAAAGCGUGGGGAGCAAACCGG
rnacentral:rRNA from 1 species